rfam:Heterocephalus glaber contig240199, whole genome shotgun sequence.
UUUAUUUUAGUAUUCAACAUUAAGGUAACUGCAAACAUAUUGUUAAAAGAAAAUAAAAGGUACUUCUUGGGCUCUAGUCUGCAAUAACUUAAAGAAAUGGACCCAGA